rnacentral:rRNA from 1 species
UACGUAGGGUGCAAGCGUUUGUCCGGAAUUAUUGGGCGUAAAGAGCUCGUAGGCGGUCUGUCGCGUCGGAUGUGAAAAUCCAGGGCUUAACCCUGGGCCUGCAUUCGAUACGGGCAGACUAGAGUUCGGUAGGGGGAGACUGGAAUUCCUGGUGUAGCGGUGAAAUGCGCAGAUAUCAGGAGGAACACCGGUGGCGAAGGCGGGUCUCUAGGCCGACACUGACGCUGAGGAGCGAAAGCGUGGGGAGCGAACAGG